rnacentral:lncRNA from 1 species
UCGGACUCGGCGAGUCCAUUCCAUGCAAUCACUCAAACUUGCUUCUAAGGUCAGAUCUACUCCAACAAUUCAUAGAUCUGGCCCUCCUAGACUGAUUCAUCACGUAAAGUCCUAGUCUUGAUGCAUUAACAACCUCUAUAUGACUAAUUAUGAAGAAUCUUCAACAAAUCUCACUACACAAGGUCAUGACCUCCAUUGUUCUCUAUAAAGCUUGAAGAAUGAGACUCUCUGGACCUCUAUGGAUCCAGAUCCGAAGUCUCAUCACUAGCAUGGGACUAUUUGGCCAUCAAAUCAACUCAACAAGGCCACAAGAAACCCUAAAAUCGGUUAUACUUCACAAAACAGGAGAUGAGUCGAAAUUAUACCUUUAGAUUGAAGGGUCAAGCUUCCAAUCCACCAAAUAGCAGUCCCCUUUGCCUCCUCUUGGCUAGAGCCUCCUUCUUCUUUGCUAAACAACACACAAAUGUCAAGAAAUGCCUCCUUUCACUCUCAAAUCGCUAAAGCACUUUUAGGGUUUCUCUCUAUGGACUGAUGGAUGCAAAUGACGGCCAUAAGGCCAUUUAAAUAGGUCCCAAACCCGAGAAAUUAGGGUUUCAUUAAACAGCGUGGACUCGCCGAGUCCAUAUCCUGGACUCGCCGAGUCCGAACGAAUCCCGCGUCCAGAAUCGCGACCCUACUCGGCGAGUCUGAGCUCCAACUCGCCGAGUCCCUUCUCAAAACUCAAAAUAUUAAAACAAUAAAAUACCUGGAGAUCCGGGCUGUUACAAUUCUCCCCCACUAGGAUUAGACUUCGCCCUCGAAGUCUCGCUCUAAAAUAGCUCCGGAUGCUGAGCCCGCAUCUCGCGCUCCGGCUCCCAGGUCAUCUCUGAUCCCUUCCGGUGUUGCCACUGAACCAACACCAAAGGUACCUCCUUGUUCCUCAGAACCUUGAUCUUCCGAUCUCUGAUGGCUACUGGUCUCUCGGCAUAAUUCAGGCUCGCAUCCACCUGAAUAUCCUCUAAUGGAACUACUGCCGACUCAUCGGCAAUACAUUUCCUCAAUUGCGACACAUGAAAAGUGUCGUGGAUUUGCCCCAACUCUGCUGGCAAUUCCAAACGAUAGGCUACCCGGCCUACCCUCGCAAUCACACGAAAUGGCCCAAUAUACCGGGGCCCCAACUUGCCCCUCUUCCUGAAUCGAAUCACUCCUUUCCAAGGAGAGACCUUCAGGAGAACGAAGUCGCCGACCUGAAACUCAAGCUCGGACCGGCGUCUGUCUGCAUAACUCUUCUGUCGACUCUGGGCGGUCAACAACCUCUGUCUGACCUGCUGAAUCUGCUCUGUCGUCUGAAGCACGAUCUCGGUACUGCCCAUCACUCUCUGCCCGACCUCUCCCCAGCAAAUGGGGGUCCGACACCUCCUACCAUACAACAGCUCAAAGGGUGGCAUACCAAUGCUCGAAUGAUGGCUGUUGUUGUAGGAAAACUCUGCCAAGGGUAGAUACGCAUCCCAGCUACCCCCAAAAUCCAACACACAUGCUCGAAGCAUGUCCUCAAGCGUCUGAAUCGUCCGCUCACUCUGACCGUCUGUCUGGGGAUGAUAUGCGGUACUAAAAUGCAAUCUAGUACCCAACUCCUCAUGAAAUUUCUUCCAGAAUCUGGAAGUAAAGCGCACAUCACGGUCUGAAACAAUCGAGAUCGGCACCCCAUGCCGAGAUACCACUUCUCUCACAUAUAACUCUGCCAACUUCUCUGCUGAAGAACUCUCACUGAUGGCAAGGAAGUGAGCGCUCUUCGUCAACCUAUCCACAAUCACCCAAAUUGCAUCAACUCCCCUGGCAGUUCUCGGCAAUUUGGUGAUGAAAUCCAUAGUGAUCUGUUCCCAUUUCCAUUCGGGAACCUCCAAUGGCUGCAACUUGCCAUGUGGUCUCUGGUGCUCGGCCUUAACCCUACGACAGGUCAAGCACCUCUCAACGAACCAUGCGACGUCCCUCUUCAUACAGGGCCACCAAUACUCUCUCCUCAAAUCCAAAUACAUCUUCGUAGCCCCCGGAUGGAUCGAAAAUUUCGACCGAUGAGCCUCCUCCAUCAAGGAAGUGCGCGUACCACCCACGAACGGUACCCAAAUCCGACCCUGAAAAGUCAUAAGCCCUCGCCCAUCCGUAACGAAUUCUGAAACCAAACCAACGACCCGUUCCCUCUUCUGCAUCUCCGGCUGCACAGCCUCGGCCUGUGCCCCACGAAUGGCAUCCAAUACCGGAGCUAUCAUGGUCAAUCUCAAACAUACAUCUCGCAAUGGAGUGCUCUCCGCCCUGCGGCUCAACGCAUCGGCCACCACGUUGGCCUUGCCCGGGUGGUACAGGAUCUCACAAUCAUAAUCCUUGACCACAUCUAACCACCUCCUCUGACGCAUGUUUAGAUUGGGCUGAUCCAUCAAGUACUUCAAGCUCUUAUGGUCCGUGUAUAUCGUACAUCGAACCCCAUAUAAGUAGUGGCGCCAAAUCUUGAGGGCGAACACUACUGCCCCCAACUCUAGAUCAUGCGUGGGAUAUCUCGUCUCAUGAGGCUUCAGCUGCCUCGAUGCAUAUGCUAUCACAUGACCCCUCUGCAUCAACACCGCACCCAACCCCAAAAUCGAUGCAUCACAAUAUACUACAAAAUCCUCCAUCCCUUCCGGGAGAGCUAAUACCGGGGCUUCGCACAACCUCUGGCGAAGUGUCUCAAAGGAGGUCUGCUGCUCGGGACCCCAUGAGAAUGCAACACCCUUCCGGGUCAACCUGGUGAGCGGCACUGCGAUCUUGGAGAAAUCCUUGAUAAAUCUCCGAUAAUACCCUGCUAAUCCAAGGAAGCUCCUGAUCUCAGAGGGUGACUUUGGCACCUCCCAACCCAUCACCGCCUCAACCUUGGCCGGAUCGACCAGAAUCCCUUCCUGGUUAACGAGAUGUCCUAGGAACUGGACCUCCCGUAACCAGAAAUCACACUUGGAGAACUUUGCAUAAAGCUUCUCCGAUCUCAGUACCCCAAGGACCUCCCUCAAAUGUUCCUCAUGCUGCUCCCUAGAUCUCGAAUACACCAGAAUAUCAUCGAUAAAUACAAUCACCGACCGAUCCAACAUCGGCCUACAUACCCUGUUCAUGAGAUCCAUGAACACCGCCGGGGCAUUGGUGAGCCCAAAAGGCAUCACCACAAACUCAUAAUGCCCAUAACGCGUCCUGAAAGCUGUCUUCUGGACGUCCCCGUCUCGCACCCUCACCUGAUGAUAUCCCGACCUCAAAUCGAUCUUGGAAAACCAAGAUGCUCCCUGCAACUGAUCAAAUAAAUCGUCGAUCCUCGGCAACGGGUAACGGUUCUUGACCGUCAGCUUGUUCAACUCCCGGUAAUCAAUACACAUCCGGUGUGAACCAUCCUUCUUCUUGACAAACAGAAUAGGUGCUCCCCACGGCGAGCUGCUCGGCCGAAUAAAUCCCUUCCCCAGCAACUCCUGAAGCUGCGAGGAUAACUCUUGCAUCUCUGGAGGUGCAAGACGAUAAGGCACCUUAGCUAUAGGCGCAGCCCCCGGAACCAAAUCAAUACCAAACUCUACUUGCCUCACAGGAGGUACUCCCGGCAGCUCCUCGGGAAAGACAUCUGGAAACUCACAUACCACCGGUACCUCCCCAACUGAACUCGGUCUCUCGGAAGUCGCUCGCGUAUCCAUCACAUACGCCACAAAACCCUUACAGCCCUGCUGUAGACACUGCCUCGCCCUGGCGGCCGAACAAAAGGCUGAUCCCGAACGUGUACCCUCACCGUACACCGAAAGAACUCCCCCACUAGGGUCUCGUAUAGUCACCAGCUGACGCUCACAGUCGAUAAUCGCGCCGAAUCGGCUCAACCAGUCCAUGCCCACAAUGACACAAACAUCGCCCAUCGCAAUAGGAAUCAGAUCAAUCGGAAACUCAAUCCCGAAGAUCUCUAACACACAUCCCCGGAAAACCUCUGUGGCACAAAUCACUCUAUCAUCAGCUAUGGAGACUCUCAGAGGCCGACUCAGUGCCUCACGACUAGCACUGAUAUGCUGGCUAAAGGCCAAAGAUACAAAAGACCGACUCGCACCCGAGUCAAAUAACACUAAAGCAGGUACGGAAUUCACAAGAAAAGUACCUACACAUAACAUAAUAUAAGCAUAACAUCAUAUGUCAAAAUAAAUACACGAAAGGAAACAUACCAGCCACAACAUCGGGCGCAGCGCGGACCUCCUCCGCAGUCAGCUGGAAGGCUCUCCCUCGAGCUCUCGGCGUCUCGGCCUUCACAGGCCGACUCUCUGUAACUCUGGUGGCGGCAGGAGCAGACCCCUGAGAUGCUCCGCGCAACUGCGGACACUCGGCCUUCCGGUGUCCGGUCUGGUUGCAGUGAAAGCACACUGCAAACCCCUUGGGGCAGUCCUUGGCCAUGUGCCCCUCCUUGCCACAUUUGUAGCAAGACCCUGCUCGGCAGACUCCGUCAUGACCCUUGCCGCACUUUCCGCAAGUGCGGCCCUUCUGGCUCCCUGGUCUGGGAUCAGCAGGCUUGGCCCGCUUGGCGGCCGGCUGCGACAACGCCGGUCGCCGAUCCCUCCCCUGAGACUCUGCCUCCUCCCUGGCCUGGGUCUCAAGCUCAAUCUCCCUCUUCCGGGCAUUUGCCUGAAGCUCGGCAAAUGUCCGGUACGAGGAGUUCGCAGCGAACUCCCGAAUAUCCCUCCUCAAGAUGCUCAAGUAGCGGCUCAUACGUGCCUGCUCAGUGGACACGUGCUCAGGGCAGAACAUCGCCCUCUCGUGGAACAUCCUCGUGAUCGCUGUAACAGACUCAGUACCCUGCUUGAGGGUCAGAAACUCCUGUGCUAAACGCUCCCUCUCCACCUGGGGAACGUACUCAUCCCGAAACAUAGUGGUGAACCUCUCCCAGGUCACCGCAGAAAGCUCAGCAGGCGAAUAAUGCGCUGUCACAAACUUCCACCAGUCCUUCGCUCCCAAGCGAAGCUGGUUCAGCGCGAACCGUACCUUCAAAUGCUCAGGAGACGAGCAAGUGAAGAAACACCCCUCAAUAUCAGAUAUCCACCUCAUAGCUGCCACCGGAUCCUGAGUACCAUCAAACUCUGGUGGUUUUGUGUUGCUGAACUCACGGAACAGCAACGCAUCCCCACCCUGCGGCCUCGCAGCAGCAAUCGCUGCGGUAGCCGCUGCAGCAGCAGCCUCAGAAAGAGCGGCAUAACGCUCAUCAAACGUCUCAAUCAAGGUGGUCUUUAUAGACCCAAACAUCUCCGGUAUCUCUGCCCUGAUGGCCGCAGCCACCUCCUCCUGAAUGAUCCGGCGGAUCUCCUCCUCACUGGUACCACUGCUCUCGGGCAUCAAACGUGUCCUCACCAUGAUCUACCUCUGAAAUACAACAUACGAUAAAUUAGAAUCCACACGAGUAUGCUCACACUCGACAACUCUUUUCUCCUUGAUUCUUGGCAUUCCAAAGAUUCUGACUUGGGCUGCACACCGCUCCGGUGCUUCCAGUAGUACGGGCCCAAUACUACUGUCCGCACCGCACCAGAAUACACUCCAAGUCCUUCUCUUUGGAUCCCAGGUCUCAAGUACUUUAUCAUGCAUAGACUACUCUCUAAUAGAUUUCUCAUAAGUCCCUUGCUGCUACCUACUCACUCUCAAGCAUCUCAUAGCAGCUCACCUCUCCCUAGGCUAAGGCAUCACACAUCAGGCCACUCUAGUCCUAAUAGCAAUACCUAGCCUACUCUAGCAUGCGGAUACAUCAUAUCAAUAUCAAUAUCACAUAAUAUAUAAAGGUAUUUUGGGAAAUCACCGUUCGGGCGCUGACUGAUCGUACACACAUCUCUUGCUCUGCGUUUUUCGAAAAUCUUUUACUCUUUUUGAAAAUACAUCUCAAAUCCUCAGUUUGAGUUCAAAUACGCCCGAAGGUGUACUCGAAUCCCUCAAACCAAGGCUCUGAUACCAACUUGUAACACCGAAAAUUUUAAAAUUUAUUUUUCACAAUUUAUAAAAGCAUUUCUCUUUUAAUUUCAUAAAACAUCAAAUUUCAAAUUCCAAUAUGUAUCAUACAAAUCCCAAGAUCACAUAAUUAUAUCGAAUUCCUCUACGUGUGUACAGAUCAAGCCGGCGCCUUCCCACGGUCAUCGCUAGUACCUGAAACAACAACACUAACACUGUAAGCACAAAGCUUAGUGAGUUCCCCAAAAUACCACACAUAAAACACAUAUUAGCCACUCGAGGCCAUAACUCUAUGGGUCCGUGCACCAAACUCUGUGAACCCUCAGGUUCUAACUCUGUGAACCUUCCGGUUCCAACUCUAUAAACAUGCACAGCAUAAAUCACAUAGAAAUAAUGCAGUACAACACAUAACAUACACGUAACAUACAUGCACUAACACAUAACUCUGAUUACCGACUCAAGGUAAGGUAUAGUGAGAAGACUCACCUCGCGUGUCUCGGUAUCUCACGAUCCCUGGAAAUCCCUCGUGCUCGAUCCUCCGAGCUCUAAUCCUCCUAUAACAUCACAAGACUCUAAUUAACACUUUUUAUCUCUAAGGUUGACUACCCCUAAGAAGUCAACACAGGUCAACGGUCAACGGUCAACGGUCAACUUUGACCGGACUCGGCGAGUGCACACGGCAACUCGGCGAGUCUAGACGUUCUCACCAACUCUCUAGGAUUCCCUUUCUACACGUCGAGUACUCCCCCUGACUCGACGAGUUCCACCUGGAAGAAUCGCGGGACCACCCCGACUCAACUCGCCGAGUCUCAAGAACGACUCGGCGAGUCCCAGCUCGACUCAGACCACAUGACAAUCCUCUCUAACUCGCCCUGACUCACUGGGUCAACUCCUGACUCGUCUGGACCACUCACUGGCCGGUCCAAGGCAAUCUUCAAGCUACUCGCCGAGUCUGCUCAUCGGACUCGGCGAGUCCAUUCCAUGCAAUCACUCAAACUUGCUUCUAAGGUCAGAUCUACUCCAACAAUUCAUAGAUCUGGCCCUCCUAGACUGAUUCAUCACGUAAAGUCCUAGUCUUGAUGCAUUAACAACCUCUAAAUGACCAAUUAUGAAGAAUCAUCAACAAAUCUCACUACACAAGGUCAUGACCUCCAUUGUUCUCUAUAAAGCUUGAAGAAUGAGGCUCUCUGGACCUCUAUGGAUCCAGAUCCGAAGUCUCAUCACUAGCAUGGGACUAUUUGGCCAUCAAAUCAACUCAACAAGGCCACAAGAAACCCUAAAAUCGAUUAUACUUCACAAAACAGGAGAUGAGUCGAAAUCAUACCUUUAGAUUGAAGGGUCAAGCUUCAAAUCCACCAAAUAGCAGUCUCCUUUGCCUCCUCUUGGCUAGAGCCUCCCUCUUCUUUGCUAAACAACACACAAAUGUCAAGAAAUGCCUCCUUUCUCUCUCAAAUCGCUAAAGCACUUUUAGGGUUUCUCUCUAUGGACUGAUGGAUGCAAAUGACGGCCAUAAGGCCAUUUAAAUAGGUCCCAAACCCGAGAAAUUAGGGUUUCAUUAAACAGCGUGGACUCGCCGAGUCCAUAUCCUGGACUCGCCGAGUCCAGACGAAUCCCGCGUCCAGAAUCGCGACCCUACUCGGCGAGUCUGAGCUCCAACUCGCCG